GAUUGAACGCUGGCGGCAGGCCUAACACAUGCAAGUCGAGCGGAUGAAGGGAGCUUGCUCCUGGAUUCAGCGGCGGACGAGUGAGUAAUGCCUAGGAAUCUGCCUGGUAGUGGGGGAUAACGUCCGGAAACGGGCGCUAAUACCGCAUACGUCCUGAGGGAGAAAGUGGGGGAUCUUCGGACCUCACGCUAUCAGAUGAGCCUAGGUCGGAUUAGCUAGUUGGUGGGGUAAAGGCCUACCAAGGCGACGAUCCGUAACUGGUCUGAGAGGAUGAUCAGUCACACUGGAACUGAGACACGGUCCAGACUCCUACGGGAGGCAGCAGUGGGGAAUAUUGGACAAUGGGCGAAAGCCUGAUCCAGCCAUGCCGCGUGUGUGAAGAAGGUCUUCGGAUUGUAAAGCACUUUAAGUUGGGAGGAAGGGCAGUAAGUUAAUACCUUGCUGUUUUGACGUUACCAACAGAAUAAGCACCGGCUAACUUCGU
rnacentral:rRNA from 1 species